rnacentral:rRNA from 1 species
CUAAAAUCCGCCGGGCUUAGAUGAGGGGUGACAACGAGGCGGCUUGCCGUCGAAGUGAGUAAUACCCUGCUUCCAGGAAAAGCCACUAAGCUUCAGCUGCACACGACCGUACCGCAAACCGACACUGGUGCGCGAGAUGAGUAUUCUAAGGCGCUUGAGAGAACUCGGGAGAAGGAACUCGGCAAAUUGACACCGUAACUUCGGAAGAAGGUGUGCCUUUAGUAGGUGAACCUGUACAAGGGGAGCCCAAUGAGGUUGCAAAAAAUCGGUGGCUGCGACUGUUUAAUAAAAACACAGCACUCUGCAACACGAAAGUGGACGUAUAGGGUGUGACGCCUGCCCGGUGCUGGAAGAUUAAAUGAUGGGGUGCAAGCUCUUGAUUGAAGUCCCAGUAAACGGCGGCCGUAACGAUAACGGUCCUAAGGUAGCGAAAUUCCUUGUCGGGUAAGUUCCGACCUGCACGAAUGGCGUAACGAUGGCCACACUGUCUCCUCCCGAGACUCAGCGAAGUUGAAAUGUUUGUGAUGAUGCAAUCUCCCCGCGGAAAGACGGAAAGACCCCAUGAACCUUUACUGUAGCUUUGUAUUGGACUUUGAACAGAUCUGUGUAGGAUAGGUGGGAGGCUUUGAAGCAGGGUCGCUAGAUCUUGUGGAGCCAACGUUGAAAUACCACCCUGGUGUGUUUGAGGUUCUAACCUAGGCCCGUAAUCCGGGUCGGGGACAGUGCAUGGUAGGCAGUUUGACUGGGGCGGUCUCCUCCCAAAGCGUAACGGAGGAGUUCGAAGGUACGCUAGUUACGGUCGGACAUCGUGACGAUAGUGCAAUGGCAUAAGCGUGCUUAACUGCGAGACUGACAAGUCGAGCAGAUGCGAAAGCAGGACAUAGUGAUCCGGUGGUUCUGUAUGGAAGGGCCAUCGCUCAACGGAUAAAAGGUACUCUGGGGAUAACAGGCUGAUACCGCCCAAGAGUUCAUAUCGACGGCGGUGUUUGGCACCUCGAUGUCGGCUCAUCUCAUCCUGGGGCUGUAGCCGGUCCCAAGGGUAUGGCUGUUCGCCAUUUAAAGAGGUACGUGAGCUGGGUUUAAAACGUCGUGAGACAGUUUGGUCCCUAUCUUCCGUGGGCGCUGCAGAUUUGAAGAAGCCUGCUCCUAGUACGAGAGGACCGGAGUGGACGCACCUCUGGUGUAUCGGUUGUCACGCCAGUGGCAUUGCCGAGUAGCUAUGUGCGGAAGAGAUAACCGCUGAAAGCAUCUAAGCGGGAAACUCGUUCUAAGAUGAGAUCUGCCGGGGCCUUGAGCCCCCUGAAGAGUCGUUCAAGACCAGGACGUUGAUAGGUCAGGUGUGGAAGCGCAGUAAUGCGUUAAGCUAACUGAUACUAAUUGCUCGUGCGGCUUGACCCU